GUCUUUUGAAGCUUCUCAACUUUUGAAUUUAAUUCAGUGAGUCUCUUCUCUGCUUCAUUUAUCUGGGUUCCCAACUCUUUUUUCUCUUUAUUCUUCAUAUCAACUUCCUUUUUUAGUGUCUCAACUAGCUUUUCUAGUUGAUCAACUCGAGCAUUAGCCUUUUUAACUUUCUCCUCAGCAUCCAAUGAACCUUUUUCUUGGAGAGA
rnacentral:misc_RNA from 1 species